UUUGGAGCAUGUUUCGGGCUUGGAAUGGAUAGCAAAUACAUGGGCCAAGUGGAUGGACGAAUUUGAGAACUAAAGAGGCCAAAAAUAUGAAGAAUUAUGGUCCAAAAGAUGAAGAAAACAGCCCAAAAAUCUAUCACCCCAACUUGCAUUCCUUGCCAUGCAAACCACAUAGAAUUCCCUUUGGAUUCCAUGCCAUGCUUGAUCACUCUUGUCCCCUACAUAAUUUCUAAUUUCAUGCUUCAAUUCAUUUAAUUAUUACACUCAAUGGCUUGAUACCUCUUGUUCCCUUCACUCAUUAGAUUUUAGACAACAUUUACAUCAUCCAUUACAUGCACCAAUUGAUGCUCCAUCAUUCACAUUCACAUUGGAAUCCAAUGCCAUGUGCAACACAUGUUGUUGCACCUUUGACCCAUUUGUUGACACAUUUCACCUCCCUUUCCAUCUCUAUGCAAUGUACACAAUCAUUUCAUGCUCCCUAGCUACAACACCACUCCAUUUUACCUUUCACACUUUGCAUCAUUACUUCAUUUUCACCCUUGGACCAUUGCACACCACACACACAAAUUGCCAUGCAUUUCAUCCUUAACCUAACCUGAUUUUCUAAGGUUUUUGGGGCCUAUAAAUACAUGUUUACACCCCUUGUCCAAAGGACAAUCCCCCAUAUUCAUCAUUUUAUCACAAAAAUUCGUCCAUACACACCCUAGGAAGCAA
rnacentral:lncRNA from 1 species